rnacentral:rRNA from 1 species
AUACGGAGGACGCGAGCGUUAUCCGGAUUCAUUGGGUUUAAAGGGUGCGCAGGCGGCCGUGCAAGUCAGCGGUGAAAGCCCGGGGCUCAACCCCGGAAGUGCCGUUGAUACUGCGUGGCUGGAAUGCGGUCGAGGCGGGCGGGACGUGGCGGGUAGCGGUGAAAUGCGUAGAUAUGCCACAGAACGCCGAUAGCGGAGGCGGCUCGCCAGGCCUGCAUUGACGCUCGGGCACGAAAGCGUGGGGAUCGAACAGGAUUAGAUACCCUGGUAGUCCACGCCGUAAACGAUGGGCGCUCGUCGUCGGCGACAGACAGUCGGCGGCCAAGCGAAAGCGAUAAGCGCCCCACCUGGGGAGUACGGUCGCAAGGCUGAAACUCAAAUGAAUUGACGGGG